UCUUUUUAAGUCAUCCUUAAAUUUCCCACCUAUUACUGUCGUUCAUAUUUCAACAAUUAUUAUUCCCAGAAUUUUCCUGGAAUUUUACAGAAUUCAUCUACAUUUUGAAUCGUUGCUUCCUCGAUCCUCGAUAUUUAAUAUGUAUUUUAGAAUUACUGCAAUGUACAAUGUAGUGUAUAAUCGAACAACCGAUGCUCGAUACACGGAAUGUAACGUAACACUAUCGACAAGAGAAGCAAAAUUAAACGUGUAUCGUUGUUAUAACGCGGAAUGUUAAAACAUCCCUUGCUUCCAUCGAAUAAUUAGUCAGAAAUUAUUACCAAUAAUAAUUUCGUUCGGAAAACAGAGCUUUCCCCUCGUUCUCCCCCGCAUUAUAUCUCCUCGUAUUUUUCGUUUAACCAAGCAACAAAAUAGUCACCGUUCGAGCGCAUUGACAUGCAGAAAUAGCUUCGUCACUAAUUUCCGUCUAACAAUCCCUUCCUCCUCGCCAUUUGUACACUUGAUGAAGAAAGAUUGCGCAACAAUGUGGCGUUAACGCGGUCACGGUGUUCGAGGAAAAUCACGCCCCUAUUCCGCUUUCAAAAUGGUAACGAGAGACGGUAAGAUUGAAGAGGGAUUUUAAACGCCCCCCUCCCCCUUGUUGAGGAACUCGAAUGUCCGAAUGGUUGAAACCGGUGGGAAAACAAAGCGAUUAAACGCAUCGGAUCUCUCGAAUCGUGCCAUUUUUACCAUUUAGGAUGGGAUGAAAAAAUGUUUCUUUUUCCUUUUCCCUAUGUUUCAUUUUUUUUUUCCUUCCUUCCUUUCCUUUCCUUUCCUUUCCUUUUUUCCUUUUUCGUUGGGAAUUACGAACGCAGAUUUAAUUGCGACGCGGAGUCGACUCGUUGAAAGUUCCUACGAAGCGGGAAACGAAACGCUGGCAAUCUUGCGUUCCGGUUGACCUGAAUUCCCCCGUUGGUGGAAACGGACGGCCCCCUCUAUAGAGUCGGGGAACAAAGAUAUCAAGGUUUUGUUCGGAGGGCAUAGGUAUACCGAGACGAAAUGGGAGCAAAAGAGUGUCCGACCGGGGGAAGCAGUAAAUUAAAAAUACAACGGGUGCUCGCGUGUCGGCCCGGAUUUUAAACGGUCCCGUUUACCUGUCUGCCGAAAAAACGGGGGGGAAAAAGAAGAGGAGGGAGAUAGAGAGAGAGAGAGA